UAUACAUAAAAUACUUUCAAAUGACCCUUGACUAAUCAUGCACCUAGUUACAGAGGUAAUGUCAGAAUUCUUUGGACAUGAUUAAUGACAAGUGGGUUUGGCCUUGGGGGAGUGGGCUGCUUGAUAAAUGAGUUCCAUUCUUUAGAAGUAUGAUAAAAAUGGCUCUGUGCAGGCAAGUCCAGUUCUUUCUCAUCAAAAGCUGAAUUUGUGGACACAAUAUUUUCCUGUUAUAAAAGAAAAGACAGAACACAAAGUGUUGUAACACAGUUGAAAACAUAAAAUAUUCUACAAUAUCAGUGUAGCAAUAAGAUGUUCAUUAAAUUAAACAGGCUAAGCUUGUUAGAAAAACAGCCCAAAACAAAAGUGUGUUUCUACACACAUCUGGCUGUAUGGUGUGUCUACCUUUAUCUGCCAUUUCGUUUUUGCUGAGACGAGGAAGACAUUUUAUCCAAACCUGAUUUUCCAAUGAGGAAAUUUAAAUAGAAACUAUUUCACAGAUUGAGAGAUGAUUUUAGUCUCAUGGGAGGCCAGUUAGCACAUGCAUUUGAAAAUGGGAUGUUAGGAUUUUAGGAAAAAAAAAACAGAGUUAUGCAACAAUAGCUGGAUAAUGAGUCAAUGAAGGAUUCCCAUUGAAUUUUCUACCUGUCUGGUCUUGUGGAGAACCAGGGAGGAUCAGGAGAAGAAAUUGAAGGGGUGGAGAGGUCUGGUUGUAGAGGUGAAACCUGUGGGUUUCCUGUCUCAUUUUAUACUGCUGAGCCGUUGCGUAUGCGGAAUGUUUGUUCCUGUUCACCGUUGCAACAUAAACGCUUUUUCCACAAUCAUGCAGGAGGGGUUUAUCACAUGAAAGUGUGACCAAGAUUUAUAAGGUCACCACAAUUUAUUUUGGUUUGAAGUUGUAAAAUGAGUCUGUAUUCAGUGUUUAAUUCAUUGUGUUUAUUAAGUGAAUUGAAGUGAUCAACUUUGGUGAUUAAAACUAAAUUAGUUACGGUAGAAAAUCUUAAAAUUACAAUAGCUGUUAUUUAUUGAACAUUGAUGUAUUUGAUCAAGGAGUUUAAUAGAAACCUUGAAACAUAUUCUCUCAAUUAAACAAUAUUAACACAGAUACAUGUGAGGGUUAAAUUCAGAAAUGAUAGCAGAGGAUGGUCCUAAACGCAGAAAGACAGGGAGGAACAGAGGGAUGUUUGGGGAUUUGAAUCAGUAAGAAAAUGUUUGAAACAAAAUUUGCAAAGCAGGAAAGUCAAAAACUGCGUAACAAAAAAACCCAAAGGGGAAUGGGAAAAAGAGAAAAAGGAAGAGAAAUACAUAAAGGGUAGAGCAGAGUAGCAGCUAAGCAGCGCAGACCUGAGCAGAAUAGAGCUAAGCAGGAUACGUUGGCAAGUGAUACAUUUACCAAUGUAUUGAUUUAGCAAACAGGAACCUCAGAAGUAUGUGGAAGAAUCAUACACAGCAAAAACAGCCUGGCACCUCCUUCUGUCGGUCACCAGCCUGGUCAAACACUUCAGUAUGUGUUCCCCCCCAUCGCAUGAAACCAAAUCUGAGUUUUGGCCUGUAGUGUUGCUACUGGACGUAAAACCCUGCUAAGAACUGGUUCUGUGCAAUUGGUGAAACAACCCUGAGAUGUGAUGGGUUGAGCCACAGACACUGCCCUGAGCUGAGAGUAGGGAUAAGAGAUUUAUCCUACAGAUUCUUCUUUUUCGAACCAACUCUGUGCAGUGAGAGGUUAAGACUACAGUUUAACUUUUUAAAAGCGACUCGGGUCAGUGAGAGGUUGGCGGUUUGGCCUCUUCAAUCCAACACUGUUCUCGCUGCCCCCGAGAGGUCUGUCUCUUCCAGUCCUCACUCCUGGCCUAAGCAGCUCAACAAGGAAGAAAGCUUCAUCUACCCCCUUUGAUCUGGCUUGCUUGUUGACUUCUACACAAUAGACGGAUUUACAAUGAAUGAAUCUGUUCAGGUUAUUGACCACCAACUAUCCAAGAGGGUUCCCCAAAAGAUCAAGGUGUCACAGUUACUUGUACCUGAUAGGUAUUCCUGCUACCUUACCGAGAGGUGAGAACAAACGACAGACAAGUCGUAUAUAUUUCACUUUGCAAAGGGGAAGCCCAGCCACACAGCGUGCGCAGUGUCGACUUCCGACGAACUUUCCUUUACAACAGCCUUUUAUUCGCAUCCAUCACACAUACACAACAACAGGGUGGAACAUGGGGACGGGGGCUUCCUCUGUUCUAGAGGGGUUCAGAGUUCAUAUGUAUUGAUAUCUACUCCUGUGUCAGGGGUGCAGAGUCCAUGUGUAUUGAUUUCUACUCCUAUGUAGUGAUAUUUUACCUGUGUCGGGUGCAGAGUUCACAUGCACGCGCUUAUGUGUACAACAUCCUGUGUUACAGUCAGCUGGUGCUGUACCACUCCUUAGCCGCACGUGAUACAUUUAUAUAAGAUGUUCCAAAAGCAUAAUAAUCACCCACUGUGCCCUAUCAGUACCUCUGUACCAAGUCCAGAGGGGCAGGCAGGUAAUCCACAGACGAGGACAGGCAGGGUCAGAACCAGGAUGGCAAACAGACAGGCAGACAAAUCCAAAACGGGGCAGGCAGGUAAAUCGGGGUCAAGGAACAGACAAGGUCAGGAUCGAGGAAAACAGGAUAACUUCGGGAUACGCUGGAAAACUUGGUAAAACACACAAGACAAUCCGGCAGUGAGCAACAGAAUGUGACUGGCUUAAAUAGUGAGUGACUGACGAUGGGAGGCACCACAGGUGAACCAGGUGCAGGAGAUCAGGUGACGAGGUGGGAGGAUCUGAAAUGACAGGAGAGUUAGUGAACAUGCAGUGGAGAAGAAUAGACUUGUCAAUACGCAGGGUCGAGGGCAAGGAGGGAGGACUCAGAUGCAGAGUCAAUGAAAAAUAAAAGGACUUUAAUAGUCAAAAAUAGGGGAGGAAGGAGGCAAAAACAAAACAGACAAAAAAACAGGGACCUGGACUUGAACACACAGACUUACUUGAACACAUGGACAUUCGACAUGUAAUGACGCCACACAAGACAAGAGACUCACAAGGCUUAAAUACACAAGGGAGGUGCAGGUGAUUGGACACAGGUGGAAA